rnacentral:lncRNA from 1 species
UAUUGCUUUAAGUCUUUUGCAUGAUUUAGGAAACAACCUAUCCUUAAUGCAAAGCCAUUCACUUGAUCAAUUAAUCAAGAUGAAUUAGAUUUGGAUCAAGGAAGGUUAAGUCUCCCUAAUUAAUGCUAACUUAUCAACCUUCAACUCAUUGAUCAAAAACAAAAAAGAAGAAGAAGAAGAAAGAGAUGAAUAAUGGAAAAGGAAAGAAAAAAAGUAAGAAUAAAGUGCAUAAGGUGAAAUAAAAUGUACCAAUCCAUGUGUGUU